rnacentral:rRNA from 1 species
AUUGACCGCUGGCGGCAGGCCUAACACAUGCAAGUCGAGCGCAGCGGCGGACGGGUGAGUAAUGCCUAGGAAUCUGCCUGGUAGUGGGGGAUAACGUCCGGAAACGGGCGCUAAUACCGCAUACUAUCAGAUGAGCCCAGGUCGGAUUAGCUAGUUGGUGGGGUAAAGGCCUACCAAGGCGACGAUCCGUAACUGGUCUGAGAGGAUGAUCAGUCGCACUGGAACGUGGACACGGUCCAGCCGCCUACGGGAGGCAGCAGUGGGGAAUAUUGGACAAUGGGCGCCAGGCUGAUCCAGCGAUGCCGCGUGUGUGAAGAAGGUCUUCGGGUUGGUAGGCACUUUAAGUUGGGAGGCGUUACCAACAGAAUAAGCACCGGCUAACUUCGUGCCAGCAGCCGCGGUAAUAC